rnacentral:rRNA from 1 species
CAGCCGCCGCGGUAAUACGGAGGGUGCAAGCGUUAAUCGGAAUUACUGGGCGUAAAGCGCACGCAGGCGGUCUGACAAGUCAGAUGUGAAAUCCCCGGGCUUAACCUGGGAACUGCAUUUGAAACUGUCAGGCUGGAGUCUUGUAGAGGGGGGUGGAAUUCCAGGUGUAGCGGUGAAAUGCGUAGAGAUCUGGAGGAAUACCGGUGGCGAAGGCGGCCCCCUGGACAAAGACUGACGCUCAGGUGCGAAAGCGUGGGGAGCAAACAGGAUUAGAGACCCCGGUAGUCCCUGUCUCUUAUAU